rnacentral:rRNA from 1 species
GCGGCCGCCCUCCGUCCGGGGGGUGGCCAGCGCCCGCCAGAGGACCAUCGAACUCCGGUCAGUGAACGUUGCCGUCUGAAAAACAAUCAAUAAACUAAAACUUUCAACAACGGAUCUCUUGGUUCUGGCAUCGAUGAAGAACGCAGCGAAAUGCGAUAAGUAAUGUGAAUUGCAGAAUUCAGUGAAUCAUCGAAUCUUUGAACGCACAUUGCGCCCCUCGGUAUUCCGAGGGGCAUGCCUGUUCGAGCGUCAUUACAACCCUCAAGCUCUGCUUGGUGUUGGGCACCGCCCUUCCGCGGGCGCGCCUCAAAGACCUCGGCGGUGGCGUCUUGCCUCGAGCGUAGUAGAAAACACCUCGCUUUGGAGCGCACGGCGCCGCCCGCCGGACGAACCUUUUGAACUUUCUCAAGGUUGACCUCG